UACAGAGGGUGCAAGCGUUAAUCGGAAUUACUGGGCGUAAAGCGUGCGUAGACGGUUAUUUAAGUCAGGUGUGAAAGCCCCGGGCUCAACCUGGGAAUUGCAUUUGAGACUGAAUAGCUAGGGUGCGGAAGAGGGAAGCGGAAUUUCCGGUGUAGCGGUGAAAUGCGUAGAUAUCGGAAGGAACACCAGUGGCGAAGGCAGAUCUCUGGGCCGUAACUGACGCUGAGGAGCGAAAGCAUGGGGAGCGAACAGG
rnacentral:rRNA from 1 species